UACAGAGGGGGCAAGCGUUGUUCGGAAUUACUGGGCGUAAAGGGCGCGUAGGCGGCCUGUUAAGUCGGACGUGAAAUCCCUCGGCUCAACCGGGGAACUGCGUCCGAUACUGGCGGGCUUGAAUUCGGGAGAGGGAUGUGGAAUUCCUGGUGUAGCGGUGAAAUGCGCAGAUAUCAGGAAGAACACCCGUGGCGAAGGCGGCUCUCUGGGACGGUACUGACGCUGAGACGCGAAAGCGUGGGGAGCGAACAGG
rnacentral:rRNA from 1 species